rnacentral:rRNA from 1 species
UACGUAGGGUGCGAGCGUUAAUCGGAAUUACUGGGCGUAAAGCGUGCGCAGGCGGUUAUUUAAGUCAGGUGUGAAAGCCCUGGGCUUAACCUAGGAAUUGCGCUUGAGACUGGAUAGCUUGGAGUGCGGCAGAGGGAGGUGGAAUUCCACGUGUAGCAAUGAAAUGCGUAGAGAUGUGGAGGAACACCGAUGGCGAAGGCAGCCUCCUGGGCCAGCACUGACGCUCAUGCACGAAAGCGUGGGGAGCAAACAGG